UCUUAGUGGCGACGGGUGAGUAACGCGUGGGUAACCUGCCUUAUACAGGGGGAUAACACUUAGAAAUAGGUGCUAAUACCGCAUAAGCGCACGGGGCUGCAUGGCCCAGUGCGAAAAACUCCGGUGGUAUAAGAUGGACCCGCGUCUGAUUAGCUUGUUGGCGGGGUAACGGCCCACCAAGGCGACGAUCAGUAGCCGGCCUGAGAGGGUGGACGGCCACAUUGGGACUGAGACACGGCCCAAACUCCUACGGAAGGCAGCAG
rnacentral:rRNA from 1 species